rnacentral:tRNA from 1 species
GAGGAUAUAGCUCAGUGGUAGAGUACCUGCUUAGCAUGCAUGAGGUCCUGGGUUCAAUCCCCAGUACCUCCA